GGAUGGCAUCGCUGCUGCUGCAGGGGCUCUUCUUCCCCAGGGCGGCUGGGGAGCAUCUCCCUCCCACCCGGAGCCCUGCGGCUCUCCCAGAACCACGGUGGCACGCCUGUUCCCAAAACUUCACGUUACACCUGUUAUCAGAUGGCAUUCCUAACGCAGAGCCCAUUUUCUGUGAAAAACACCACAUAACAUCUGUUCAUAAACAGUCCUUCUGUGAGAACACUGACACAGGUCUUGAGCUUCUACUGGCUCAAUUCCCCUGCCGUACACAGAUGGCACGAG